CCUACGGGAGGCAGCAGUGGGGAAUAUUGGACAAUGGGGGGAACCCUGGUCCAGCGACGCCGCGUGAGUGAAGAAGGAUUUCGGUAUGUAAAGCUCUAUCAGCAGGGAAGAAAGAAAUGACGGUACCUGACUAAGAAGCCCCGGCUAACUACGUGCCAGCAGCCGCGGUAAUACGUAGGGGGCAAGCGUUAUCCGGAUUUACUGGGUGUAAAGGGAGCGUAGACGGCGAUGCAAGUCUGAAGUGAAAGGCGGGGGCCCAACCCCCGGACUGCUUUGGAAACUGUAUGGCUGGAGUGCAGGAGAGGUAAGUGGAAUUCCUAGUGUAGCGGUGAAAUGCGUAGAUAUUAGGAGGAACACCAGUGGCGAAGGCGGCUUACUGGACUGUAACUGACGUUGAGGCUCGAAAGCGUGGGGAGCAAACAGGAUUAGAUACCCGAGUAGUC
rnacentral:rRNA from 1 species